GCAGAGUAGGACACUUGAGCGUUAAGUGCAGUGCGAACGGGGAGUUGCCGUGCUGACGAAAAGGGUUUCUUGCGAUUCGGUGUCCGCAUCCCGCUGC
rnacentral:ncRNA from 1 species